CACUCUACGGGAGGCAGCAGUGGGGAAUAUUGGACAAUGGGCGCAAGCCUGAUCCAGCCAUGCCGCGUGAGUGAUGAAGGCCCUAGGGUUGUAAAGCUCUUUCACCGGUGAAGAUAAUGACGGUAACCGGAGAAGAAGCCCCGGCUAACUUCGUGCCAGCAGCCGCGGUAAUACGAAGGGGGCUAGCGUUGUUCGGAUUUACUGGGCGUAAAGCGCACGUAGGCGGACUAUUAAGUCAGGGGUGAAAUCCCGGGGCUCAACCCCGGAACUGCCUUUGAUACUGGUAGUCUUGAGUUCGAGAGAGGUGAGUGGAAUUCCGAGUGUAGAGGUGAAAUUCGUAGAUAUUCGGAGGAACACCAGUGGCGAAGGCGGCUCACUGGCUCGAUACUGACGCUGAGGUGCGAAAGCGUGGGGAGCAAACAGGAUUAGAAACCCCUGUAGUCCC
rnacentral:rRNA from 1 species